rnacentral:rRNA from 1 species
UACGUAGGGUGCGAGCGUUAAUCGGAAUUACUGGGCGUAAAGCGUGCGCAGGCGGUUCGCUGUGUCCUGUGUGAAAGCCCCGGGCUUAACCUGGGAAUGGCAUGGGAAACUGGCGGGCUGGAGUGUGGCAGAGGGGGGUGGAAUUCCGCGUGUAGCAGUGAAAUGCGUAGAGAUGCGGAGGAACACCGAUGGCGGAGGCAGCCCCCUGGGCUAACACUGACGCUCAGGCACGAAAGCGUGGGGAGCAAACAGG